ensembl:lncRNA
AUUGGUCGCUACAAACCUUUCAGUGGGGCUUUCAAUCCAAAUUCUCUUAAACAUCGAGACACUGUAUGCUGAUAUCCUUUACCCUGUUUAGUGCUGAACUGGCAAGCAAUUCCAGCUGCAGUGUUGAAUCGAUUGCCCAUUGAGAUUAUCCACAUUAUCCUCUCCUCUUGAGCAUUUGUCUUAUGUGGAUGACCAGCCUUUUUUGGGAGACUUGAAUGAGAUUGUGACAUUGUAAAGAUGCAAUAUUCUAAAUCACAGAUUUGGAAUCACCAGCUUCUCUUGCUAUGGCUGCUAUUGGCCUUCAUCUGGACAACCUGCUGUCAGAGAGUUUCAGUCCCUUUAGAACGACUUACCAUCUUGCAAAGUUAACCCUUCCUCUCCCUACAUGGGAACAAACACCGCUAAAUCCACCAGCUAUGU